UACGUAGGGUGCAAGCGUUGUCCGGAAUUAUUGGGCGUAAAGAGCUCGUAGGCGGUCUGUCGCGUCUGCUGUGAAAGUCCGGGGCUCAACUCCGGAUCUGCGGUGGGUACGGGCAGACUAGAGUGAUGUAGGGGAGACUGGAAUUCCUGGUGUAGCGGUGAAAUGCGCAGAUAUCAGGAGGAACACCGAUGGCGAAGGCAGGUCUCUGGGCAUUAACUGACGCUGAGGAGCGAAAGCAUGGGGAGCGAACAGG
rnacentral:rRNA from 1 species